AUGCCACAACGACUCUGGCAGGACCAGGUAAAUGCUGGGAAGUGAAGUCAAAAGUCUCACCUGGGGCAGAGAGUCAAUUAUGGGAGCCAUUCUCACCUGCCUUUCAGGGUGCACAUUACCAGGGAGCUGAGAGAACAGCUGAGCAUGAACCCAGGCACUCCAAUCAAACGUGGGCUCAGCCAGAUGCCUACAGCAGCAGGCUGUAGUUAAGGCAAUUGGCAAAGCUGCUGGAGAGAAUUCUUCUUGCUCCACAGAAGAAGAAAUACCAGGAAAUAGAUAAUGUAUACCACAAAGAUGAGACAUGAUGGACUACCUGUGAAAUUGAUACAACUGCAAAUUCCUGGACAUCCACGUGUUGAGGAAGGCGGGACAGGCAGGCACGAUUCUCACCCCCGAACUCAGCAGGAGUGGAGACGCUGGGUUUUCAACUUUCUUGGACUCAGCCUGCGGUCUGGAGUGAGUCGUUGCUCUAUUUGAGAAGUUCCCUGGCUAAAGUUUCAGCAAGACCGGCGAAAGUCUCCGAGAAAGGCUAUCUCUUUAUCUUAAGAAAAACCUUUUGUACAAACUUUUCAGUGAUCUGAAGGUGGAUCCAAAAUACGUGUGAUGGGAAGGCCCCGCUUAGCCAGUGUCUUCCUCUGUUGGUAGGAAAGAGGCACGAUGUAUCGGAAUCAUGAGCAGGAUCACAGAGAUUUUCUGUUCCAAAGUCCCUUCAUUUUUCAGAUAAGGAAACUGAGGCCGAGAAAUUCAUUGAAAGAAUUCUGAGUGCUUGUUCAGGUGAGAAUGGCAUCCUUGGGGACCUUGGGAUUUUUUUCAACUAUGAAAUGAGACUCCUCAAACACCUUUGCCUGGGGGAGAUUGCACGUGAAACCCCCGAGUCCGUAGGAGCCCUGAGCUGGGCCGAGCAUGGCAGUUCACAAGUGUAUCUUCUUACUUAAGGAUUAAAAAGUGUGUGCUGACUUAGCGCAGGGGAGCUUUGAUCUUGCCCAAGGUCACUGUAGAAAAUGGCAUCUUUUAUAAAAGAGGAACAGGAAAAUCCAGUAUGAGAUUUUCCCUACAUAUUUAUUUUCCUGAUAAGCUACCUGUUUCCUAAUGGCACAGGUUUUGCAUCCCAUGAGUGACUUGAUUGGGUGUUCUUUUGCAUUGUGAUUUGAUUCUCUGAAAUGUAUAAUAGUCUAGGUCAAUCUUGACCUUACUCAGUCAAUAGAUAUUUGCCUCUCACCUGCUAUCC